ensembl:rRNA 5S_rRNA 5S ribosomal RNA
GCUUACGGCCACACCGCCUGGUUCACGCCCAAUCUCGUUUGAUCUCGGAAGCUAAGAAAGGGUGGGCCUGGUUAGUACUUGGAUGGGAGACCGCCUGGGAAUACCAGAUGCUGUAAGCU